AUAGUGAGGUGGUUGUGUGUAGUGUACUGUAUAGUGAGGUGGUUGUGUGUAGUGUACUGUAUAAUGAGGUGGUUUGGUGUAGUGUCCUAUGUAAUGAGGUGGUUGUGUGUAGUGUUCUGUAUAAUGAGGUGGUUUGGUGUAGUGUUCUGUAUAAUGAGGUGGUUGUGUGUAGUGUCCUGUAUAGUGAGGUGGUUUGGUGUAGUGUUCUGUAUAAUGAGGUGGUUGUGUGUAGUGUCCUAUGUAAUGAGGUGGUUGUGUGUAGUGUACUGUAUAGUGAGGUGGUUUGGUGUAGUGUACUGUAUAAUGAGGUGGUUUUGUGUAGUGUUCUGUAUAAUGAGGUGGUUGUGUGUAGUGUACUGUAUAAUGAGGUGGUUGUGUGUAGUGUCCUAUGUAAUGAGGUGGUUGUGUGUAGUGUUCUGUAUAAUGAGGUGGUUGUGUGUAG